AUUUUUUUGUCCUUUUUCCAAUACAUAAAUAGUAGUUGGAAGAGUGUAGAAUUAAUGGCAUCUGCUCUCAUCAAAUCCGCCUUCCGCGCCAGUGCAUUCAAGAGGAAUUUCUCUUCUUCCGCCCACAACGAUGAGGCUCGUGAAGCAGCUAAGUGGGAGAAAAUUACUUACGCUGGAAUAGCUGCGUGCGCUAUUCUUACAAUUUUUAAUCUCUCUAAGGGUCAUCCCCACUAUGAAGAGCCUCCUCCUUACCCGUAUCUGCACAUUCGUAACAAGGAGUUUCCAUGGGGUCCGGAUGGCCUUUUCGAGAGGAAGCAUCA
rnacentral:misc_RNA from 1 species